rnacentral:rRNA from 1 species
AUUGAACGCUGGCGGCAGGCCUAACACAUGCAAGUCGAGCGAGCGGCGGACGGGUGCGUAAUGUCUGGGAAACUGCCUGAUGGCGGGGGAUAACUACUGGAAACGGUAGCUAAUACCGCAUACCAUCAGAUGUGCCCAGAUGGGAUUAGCUAUUAGGUGGGGUAACGGCUCACCUAGGCGACGAUCCCUAGCUGGUAUGAGAGGAUGACCAGCCACACUGGAACUGAGACACUGUCCAGACUACUACGGUAGGCAGCAGUGGGGAAUAUUGCACAAGGGGCGCAAGCCUGAUGCAGCCAUGCCGAGUGUGUGAAGAAGGCCUUCGGGUUGUAAAGCACUUUCAGCGGGGAGGCGUUACCCGCAGAAGAAGCACCGGCUAACUCCGUGCCAGCAGCCGCGGUAAUUC